AUCAUUUUUAAAUUAGUAACACCUUCGUGAAUUUGUAACUAUACUUUUUACCGCCAUAUGUGAGUGAAAUUUCAGUUUGAUUCAGAAGUUCUAUAACAUUCUGUUUCCUAUAAAAAUUAAUUAGUUAUUGAAUUUCAAGUUUACAAGUUGUUUAUAAGUGAAAACUAACAGAGUAAGUUAAAUAAGUGUUAUUAACAAUAAUAAUUAAAAAUUCAAUGAGUCUUGAGCCCUCGUAUGUCAAUAUUUGCAGUGAAUAGGUACAUUGAUAUAUGACUUUCAAAUACAUAAACGUAACAAGGCUAAGUAAAUCGCUUUUUAUAUAGUACGCGACAUAGAUUCAAUAUUUUACUAGGUCAAUCUUUCCAAAUUAUAAGCGACGAAAUAUAGAACGGUAUCUAUUCUCAUUGAUCUGAUUUUUAAGAUACAAGAUAUGAAGUGUUCAUACAAGGUCAGUGCAUACAACGAACGGCUGAAUUAUGGAAUAAAAUUAUUAUUACGGAAACGAAUAAUCACGAAUGUUUUAAAAAACUUAUGUGGUAAUUAUCUAGAGGCUAAGAACAAAAGUUUAAUGAAAUUCAACAUAAUUAACAGUAAUUAAUAUUCAGAUAUACGAAUUUCUGGAGUAAUUACUGAGAAAAACCACAAAUAUGCAUAAGGUAUAUCGUUAAUUGACAAUGUUUUCAUGUUGUUACAGAAGUUAUAUAUUUUAUAACGACUUUAGCAAAAUUUGAAAUCAGUAAUUUAUAACAGCGUCAAAAUAGUUUCGGCGGGCCUGUGCUAACUCAUUAUUCCAAUAUUUUCCAUAAAAGUUUAACUUCUGUUAAAAUGUGCCAACUCGUGAUCGUGGUUGUCAUGAAGAUUAGACAACCAUCCAUGAAAAAUGUUGUUGCUGAAUUUAAAUUUAUUUUAGAUUGAAUUGUACUUGUUUAGUAAUUAUAUUAUUGUCUAAUAAAAAAUAUUCUCCUCGGUCAGUUCAUAGAA